CACGUAGGGCGCGAGCGUUGUCCGGAAUUAUUGGGCGUAAAGAGCUCGUAGGCGGCCUGUUGCGUCCGCUGUGAAAGCCCGGGGCUUAACCCCGGGUCUGCAGUGGAUACGGGCAGGCUAGAGGUAGGUAGGGGAGAAUGGAAUUCCUGGUGUAGCGGUGAAAUGCGCAGAUAUCAGGAGGAACACCGAUGGCGAAGGCAGGUCUCUGGGCAUUAACUGACGCUGAGGAGCGAAAGCAUGGGGAGCGAACAGG
rnacentral:rRNA from 1 species